AAAUAUAAUGUAAGACAAAAAAAGUCAAGAUCACAUAUAAAAUGUGAUCUUCACCUAACACUGAUCGAUGUCUUUGCCGUGCAAAAAGCUUGCAGGCAAGAUCAGUGAUUCUUUACAAAUAGUUCAUUGAGAUUUCUUAAAAAGUCAGGGCAGCACAGAGGCUGCUGCUCCACGAUUCUGCUAGUCUCAGUGGUCUCCUUACAAAGACGGGCGGCUGGAGGCUGCCAGCUCACUUUAAGAGCAGCUUUGUGAAAAACAACCCCAGUGCGCAUGCGCACGCCGCGGCUGCUGUCCGCCCUCCCUGCGCGUCCCCUCCCGCGCCCGGCUCGCUCCCUCGCUCGCUCGCGGGUACAGUAGGUGUACAGCUAAGGGAAGAAGACACGGGCUGUCGGGAGGCUGAACCUGACUUCUCUUCAUUGUGGGCUCCUAUUGGCUUUUCUGCAAAUGAAGAGGAAGGAGAGAAGAACCUUUUAGAAAGAGUCGCUUGA
rnacentral:lncRNA from 1 species